AGACGCAGCACGCUGGUCUUCCUCUCCCUCUAGUUUGCUCAUCGUCCCCAGUCCAGCCCUGCAUGGCGCCCCCUGCAGCUUUCUCCUCUCUGCUUGGUUUCGGCUGCCUGCUGCGCUCGCACGUCCGGUUCCAAAGGAGGGCGACGGCUGUGAGAACCCGUUGUUUGGUCAAGCGCCAACGUAGGAACGCGUCAGCGGCGGCCAGCCUGUCGCUCUCCAAGGUUGAUAAUUCUUUCGUUUCCUCUAAAAAAUGCAUUUGAUCGAACUUUUUGCCCGUGUCCAUUAUGUUGGGCUUUUUUCCGAACAUUUGCUCCUGUUGCGUGUAAAUUUUCUUUUCCCUACUAACCGAAAAUUUCCGUGUCGCCAGGUCACGGUGACUGGGUUUGUGUGCGAGCAGGUUGGGGAACACGACCCGCUGGUCAACACUGGCGGCUCGGUGCGUGCGCCGUGCUCUCAUGACGGGGACGCUGCCUCCAGCACGUACGAUGUAUUCGCUGCCAUUGAACAAGAUUCGGGCGAGGCGAGAAGCUCUUGCUUGAAUGCUCACAUUUAGUAAUGGAGUGCGCGAGCCGAGGAAAGCUCAAUAAACAUAUGCCAACAAUAUGAUUGUUUGCGUAUGUGGGUGUGGUGUGUUAUAUCGUUCGUGGGUUUGUUUGGCGCUCAAUGUAUUUAUCUUCUCGUAUGGAAUAAAAAAAAUUGUGUCAACGUUA
rnacentral:lncRNA from 1 species